rnacentral:piRNA from 1 species
UCCAAGGACUGCUGUGCUAGGGUAUCCAUC